rnacentral:lncRNA from 1 species
AAGACAGAGUUUCGCUCUUGUUGCCCAGGCUGUAGUGCAAUGGCGCGAUAUUGGCUCACUGCAACCCCUGCCUCCCAGGUUCAAGUGAUUCUCCUGCCUCACCAAGUAGCUGUGAUUACAGGAUAUGAUUCAUAGUCCAGCGUUUGAGUGAGCACUCCAGUCAGAACGAACUCUGCAUUGUGAACAUCUGAACAGGGUGGAAACAGACACUUUAGUUAGAGAUCCACUGCUGUGCGUGCACACAUACUCACACAGGGCAAUGACGGACUCGCUGGCGGACUCCACUCUACCCACCGAGUUCUGCUUGUGCUCCAUGAGCUUCCGGAAAGAUGGCUGCUUGGAUAACACCUUUCCUCCUGCACACUCUACGAUUGCCUUCAUAGUGGAAAGACUUGGGCAGAUUCCAGGUGUGAUGUAAAAAUAUUUUGCCUAAAAUUAAAUGAAAAUAUAUGUA